AGCAGCCGCGGUAAUUCCAGCUCCAAUAGCGUAUAUUAAAGUUGUUGCAGUUAAAAAGCUCGUAGUUGAAUUUCGGGGUCAGUAGGUCGGUCGUGCCAACGGUAUGAACUGGUCUCACUGAUUCCUCCCUCUUGUAGAACCGUGAUGCCAUUAAUUUGGUGUUGCGGGGAAACAGGACUGUUACUUUGAAAAAAUUAGAGUGUUUAAAGCAAGCUAACGCUUGAAUACAUUAGCAUGGAAUAAUGAAAUAGGACGUCGAUCUUAUUUUGUUGGUUUCUAGGGUUGACGUAAUGAUUAAUAGGGAUAGUUGGGGGCAUUAGUAUUCAAUUGUCAGAGGUGAAAUUCUUGGAUUUAUUGAAGACUAACUACUGCGAAAGCAUUUGCCAAGGAUGUUUUCAUUAAUCAAGAACGAAAGUUAGGGGAUCGAAGACGAUCAGAUACCGUCGUAGUCUUAACCAUAAACUAUGCCGACUAGGGAUCGGAUGAUGUUAAUUUUUAAUGACUCAUUCGGCGCCUUACG
rnacentral:rRNA from 1 species